CCGAUUCAAACAUCAACUUCACUUAGUCUUAAAGUUACAUGCAAGCUCUAAAUCAACUCAUAAAAAAUACUCACAAAAUGAAAUCUAAAGAAAUAGUGCCAAUUUAUUCACACAAUAACAAACAAGAACAUAUUUAAGGCAUAAGAGUUAGAAAUGUCAAUUCGUUUUUCUUGGCUCGAACGAACAAUGCGACAAUGGACUUCGGUAGAUAACACAACGAUGAACAGAUACAAUAAUUGAAGCUCAAGCAGGAACUACGAAUCUACCAAGAAACGUCGGACUACCACUUUCGACGAACUCGGAACUAGCCAGAAAACUCGAAUUAAACCCAAACAAUGAAAUUAAUGGGUUCUGCGAUGGCUCGAACCCAAAAAAAAGACUUGGAAACAAAAGCUGAGGAAAAAUCCAUCAGCGAAAAUUAGAUUAGAAAGUUGAAUUUUGUGUAUGUUUAUUGAUUGGGGAAGGGCAAAAUAAACUUGAAAGAACUCAAAUGUGCGGCUCACUCUUCCUUAGAGAUUAGGUGGUGGCCGAUUUUUUUUGUUUUCUCUGUUCUUGUGUAUGUGUGAUGGCUGCUCUAAGGUGAAGGGGAGGGGGCUGAUUUUGAUGGGUGCUAGGCGUCUCUUUCCUUCUCGCUGGAUUCCAACGAGUUCUGGUGAUAGCCGGAUUUUCGGCUGCUUGGUGCGACCGCAGUGAUGGCAGGCGGGAAGGCGGCUAGUUGGUCUCUCUUGGUUGAGGAUGAAGGCUAUGGCAUUUUUUGUGGGGUGAAGAAGAAGAAGAUCUACCGUGGUCUGCCGUUGGUUUUAGGGACGGAGAAGAAGGUCUUCAAGCUCGGGUUUUUUAGAAUUCGAAAAGAAAAAUCUGAUAGGGAAGGCGUUUGGACUUUAGAUUUGGGCCUUGAUAUUGGGCUAAAAAUAAAUGUUCAACCCUUAGUUAAAUCUCUUUUAAUAUAAAAUAAAUAUACUAUAUAAU
rnacentral:lncRNA from 1 species